AAACCACUUUGGUGGCCUAGUGGUUAGAGCAUCCACUUCAGAUGUGGGAGGUGCUGGGUUUGAACCCUGACCUAGUUUU